rnacentral:misc_RNA from 1 species
CCGACAUUGAACUAAGUCCAGUGACGCAAUAGCUGGUAAAUAAGAGGGUUUUAACCUAUGUUCGAUCUGUCAGACCAAUGUGUGUCACAGGCGGUGAAUUUUUCGUGGAUCGUGUAUACAUCGUCAGUCGUACUGCAGCCCUUCUCAACGUCACAUACAAACGUAACUUUGCUCACGCACAGUGGAUGAAAUCCAACGGGCCAUCACUCGGCAACAACAGGAAACUUAUGACGAUGAGGAAUCGCAUGGGGUAGUGGGUAAUUUACAAGAGCAGGCUGCAUUCGACAACGCCAAAGAAGUGAAUGAUCCUGACGAUUCUGACUUCGUUAUGCAAGAUAACGCGGAAGCAGAUCCCGAUAUAAAUGAGGCAGAUAUGCAGAAGCGCACAGUACUAACGCCUAGAAAAAGAGCACAAGUAGAUAGACAGAGUACAUCUAUUUGAACGCCAGCCAUGACUUGGUCGAAACCAGCACCUGAACUUCGGGGCAGGCAUUUCGGUGAGCAGAACUGGCUUACUUGCUAUACGCAAGAAGCUCGAGGCGCCGCAAAGGAUGUUUUUUCCAUGAUAGAAGCUUGGUCAUUACUAUUUAUUGACGGCAUGCUUGCAUUGAUUAUAAAGCAUACGAAUGAAUCAAUACUGCGUUGGAUUGUGAAAAUGACGAUUGAAGCGCAACAAGGUAGAGAAUUCGUCAAGCAUAUGUAUUAUGAUGAAACAAAUAUGGCAGAAAUGAAAGCUUUUAUUGGUCUCAAUAUUAUGGAGGCAUUUAUGGAGUAUUAAUGACCGCCGUACAUUCUUUGUGGGAGUCUGAGUCAAUGUCCUUGUUCACCGCAGAUAUUACACUCCAUAUGAGCACGUAAUUAUCGAUGAGCAGCUACUCUCUUUCCGUGGAAAAUGUCCGUUUAGAAUCUACAUGAAGAGUGAACCUGCCAAAUAUGGCUUGAAGAUUCUUAUGAUAAUCGAUAGUAAAACCUAUUACAUGUUCAUCACGAUACCAUAUGUCGGAAAAACCGUAGGUCGAGAGAGUGUCCCUUCAUAUCAUGUCAAACUUCUAAUCGAGCCGAUACAUGGAAGUAAGCGCAAUGUUACUUGUGACAACUGGUUUAUGUUAGAACCUCUAGUAGAAAUAAUGAUUGAAGAGCCUAGUGGAUCCUAAAAUCCGUGAUAUUAGGGUGAUAUUCACGUAAUCGCUCAAAUUCCACUCAACUCAUUGGUGUAGUUGUAAAAUUUUUCCACCACGGUUUUACUAAAAUUACCCUCGGAAAAUCGACUCUGGUAUCAUCAAAAUAUCAUUAUUUUAAUUCACUGGCGAUCUCCUAUUUUCCCUAACUUUAUAUAAAUUUUUCAUGUGUACGUUACGUCCGUGGACGUCGUUUACUCCCGAGCGGUGAGGAAUAAACUGGUUCGACUUCGCUUUUACGUCCGGGGACAACCGGAAGUUGGGAUAAGGGUUGAAUAACCGUUUGGAUGUUUGAGAUAUCAACUAUAUAUUUGGUUGAAUAAUUUGUGGUAUAGUUUAAACGGAGUGUGUAGUUCACAAUAUCGGUAAGAAAAACUAUACGUGAGGUUGUUGAGUGUCGAAAUAGAAUUUAUCGUACCAAAUGUUGGAAUGGUAAUGAAUCUGAGCUAAAGAGGAGUAGACGUAAGGUGCGCAAAAUGGUGGGGAAUAGAAUUAGCAGAGUUGGCAAAAAGCGAGUGGCGUGAGCCAAAAUGGAAAUAGGAGGACGGGAAUGAGAUGAUAAGGCUAUUGUAAGGAUCGUGGGAGAGUGACGAGAUGAGGGAGACAUGUGGCGAUAUGCCGGACGUAACAUACAAAUCUUUAUGAUACAAUUCAUACAGUAUUGUUGGAAUUAGUUCUUUGACUAAAUUUUUUGUGUUAAAAAUUUUGAAUAACAGUUCUUUUUUUCUUUCGUCUUGAAACAUCAGCAGUUUCUAAUUAGAAUAAAUUGCUUUUUUCUAAGAUACAAUUUUUUGAAAAAUUACAAAUAUUUUGGAUAUUUUAUGAAAACAAUUUCCGAGUGUCCGUUUUUUCUCUCCACUAAAUUCCCCCUCCCCUGACCCUCCCCUUGUUGAGCACGCCAGCUGUCCAACAAAAAUUUGCGAUAUGUAUCUUUUGUAAGAUCAAUUUUUGCCAGCAUUCAUUGCGGAUCGCCAAAUUAUUGUGCACACGGUAAGUUCUCGGGCCACUUCUCCGGGCGGAGUUACAGCAAAAAUCCGCGUC